CGAGAGAGCAAACCGCGCGGUUGGAGCACGCGCCCGCGCCUGUGCGCCUACACAGCAACAAUCGAUUGCGGCGAGCCGAGCCAGACACAGUGCGUACGGUGUGUGUGGGAUUCGUAGGUAACACAAAUCGGGUGCCUCAAUACAGACUUUACGCAGCCCAGGGCAGGGCGGGAGCAGAAGGACCGCCUGCGUGCAGUGUUUGUGCGUGUUUGAGUGAGUGUCCUCGUGCACUGCUCGUGUGUGUGUGUGUGUGUAUGUGCCCAAUGUGGCCGCCCGGUUCGUGCUAGUGAACCCCCCUUCGGUUUGGUGGCGCUGAGCUGUGGCUCCAGAAUGUGCAACAGAGUGGUAGGGCGGCAACCUUCUCAUCUGCCACCGGUUUCAACACCCUGUGGCGUUGCUGUGGCCACUACACCGGCACGUGCAACCGUUGCACCUGAUCCACGGUUUGGAUUCCGCGGAAAAACAGGCGAAGGUGGGUGGGACGUGUGAGAACGUGCUUGAAGUGAAAAAAAAAGAGUGAGAAAGAACGAGAGAAAGAGAGAGAGAGAGAGAGAGAGAGAGAGAGAGAGAGAGAGAGAGAGAGCAUUCUAGUGCGUGACUGUGCGAAACCGACACUUCUGUGUCACUCAACCGACUUCAAUCAACAAAGCCAACACAAAUCGCAAGGCUUUAAAAAGGGGAGAAGGUGAAGAAACGUGAAACGUGCCGGAGGGGGAGGGGGAGCUUUCCGGUCAACAGCGAUCACCCACCCAGUCCCUGGAACGGUUGAUCUGACUAUCAAAGCUCAAGACCCACGACCCUAAACCGUGCGUGCUGGUAUCCUUGCGAUCCCGGAUGUCCUCUCAAUCAACGGCAACCGUCGGGUG